rnacentral:rRNA from 1 species
AUUGAACGCUGGCGGCAUGCCUUACACAUGCAAGUCGAACGGUAACAGGUUAAGCUGACGAGUGGCGAACGGGGGAGUAAUGUAUCGAAACGUGCCCAGUCGUGGGGGAUAACUGCUCGAAAGAGCAGCUAAUACCGCAUACGACCUGAGGGUGAAAGCGGGGGCUCGCAAGGCCUCGCGCGAUUGGAGCGGCCGGUAUCGGAUUAGGUAGUUGGCGGGGUAAAGGCUCACCAAGCCGACGACCUGUAGCUGGUGUGAGAGGACGACCAGCCACACUGGGACUGAGACACGGCCCAGACUCCUACGGGAGGCAGCAGUGGGGAAUGUUGGACAAUGGGCGCAAGCCUGAUCCAGCCAUGCCGCGUGCGGGAAGGAGGCCUUCGGGUUGUAAACCGCUUUUGUCAGGGAAGAAAAGGUUCUGGCUAAUACCUGGGACUCAUGACGGUACCUGAAGAAUAAGCACCGGCUAACUACGUG